UACGGAGGAUGCAAGCGUUAUCCGGAAUUAUUGGGCGUAAAGGGUCCGCAGGUGGUGAAUCAAGUCUGUUGUCAAAGCGUGGAGCUUAACUCCAUAAGGGCAAUGGAAACUGAUUGACUAGAGUACAGUAGGGGUUGCGGGAAUUCCCAGUGUAGCGGUGAAAUGCGUAGAGAUUGGGAAGAACACCAGCGGCGAAGGCGCGCGACUGGACUGAGACUGACAAUGAGGGACGAAAGAUAGGGGAGCGAAAGGG
rnacentral:rRNA from 1 species